rnacentral:rRNA from 1 species
AAUCAACGCUGGCGGCGUGCCUAACACAUGCAAGUCGAACGUGAAAGCCCCGCAAGGGGUAAGUAGAGUGGCGCACGGGUGAGUAACACGUGGAUAACCUGCCUUUGAGUGGGGAAUAACCUUCCGAAAGGAGGGCUAAUACCGCAUAACACCCUUGGACACAGGUCAAGGGGUUAAAAGGAGCAAUUCGCUCAAAGAGGGGUCCGCGCCUGAUUAGCUAGUUGGCGGGGGUAACGGCCCACCAAGGCUUCGAUCAGUAGCCGUCCUGAGAGGGAGCACGGCCACACUGGAACUGAGACACGGUCCAGACUCCUACGGGAGGCAGCAGUGGGGAAUUUUUGGCAAUGGGCGAAAGCCUGACCAAGCAACGCCGCGUGGGUGAUGAAGUAUCUUGGUACGUAAAACCCUUUCGGCAGGGACGAACUUAAUGACGGUACCUGCGGAAGAAGCCCCGGCUAACUCCGUGCCAGCCGCCGCAGUAACAC